AUGGCCACACUGGCCCACAUCGCGGACGCGCAGCAGAGUCUUCUCCCCCCUCCGCCGCGGCAACAUCGCCGUCGCCGCCGCAGCACUCCUCGGUGGCGCCGCCCGCCCAUCGAUGCCCCAGCCAUAUCAGAUUUGGCAUCGGAUCGUCCUCAAGGAUUGGACUGUGAUGGAGAGUGUGUGGUCGAUGAGCAAGAUAAGGAGCAAAGAAGACCAGCCAGGUCUGGAGAAAAAAAUUUUCAGUGAAUCAUUGUACCUCCUGAUGUUCAUCUAAAGAUAUUACUGUCUCUCACAACACUCUCUGGAAGGCAGAUUUGAUCACUUUGCUUGGACUGCAAAAGCAGGUAUGUUGAUCUUAUCUUCAAGACAUAGAAGGUAGCAAUGCCAUAAGUUUCUCCUUGUUUUUAUCAACAACAUGCCGUUCUUACGGAAUACAUGCAUAUCCCCAAACCUAAAUGACUUCGAGGCUAGAGCAAUUGGUGGUGCAUGCCAUCCACUCAUUUUUCAGUGGCCAUGCUAGCCUGCUAGGGAUCUCAGCUGCCUCUGUGGACAAACAAAUCGCCAAGGACACACCACAUGGGCAACAUCACACAGGCAUGGACCCUGCUUGCCAUCUACCCUCACCAUUCUCUUGUUGUUUUUUCCUGUGGGAUUUGUGGGAGGGGGGAAGCAUCCAAAUGAACUUCAAUGCACCAGAUUUAAGAUUUACAGCGGUAGCAAGGAGGCCCCCCCCCCCCCCCCCCCCCCGCCCCCGUUGCAAUUGAAAUGGCCACAUGUGGACUGGCAUGUGUUCCCAUCAGAGAUCUCUCGGUUACAGUAAGACACGGCCAAUUUCGACUUGUUACCCUGACGAAGGAAGAAGAAGAGAAGUGAGGGCAGACAGAGACAGCAGCAAACCCGGGCAGACAGCUCCACGCACAUUUCACACAAGAGUCCACAACUCCAUACAGCUCCAUCUGCAGCAGCAGGACAGCAGCUUCCUUGGGUCGGAUUUUUCCAUCCCGGCUGAUUCCACCGCGUUCGGUUACUGAACUUUCGACUGGUAGGUGGUGUUUAGACUCAGAAAAUUUUUGGGAGAAGUGUCACAUCAAAUAUUUGACCGUAUGUCGGAGGGUU